rnacentral:rRNA from 1 species
GUUUGAUCCUGGCUCAGGAUGAACGCUAGCGGCAGGCUUAACACAUGCAAGUCGAGGGGUAUAGUUCUUCGGAACUAGAGACCGGCGCACGGGUGCGUAACGCGUAUGCAAUCUACCUUUCACAGAGGGAUAGCCCAGAGAAAUUUGGAUUAAUACCUCAUAGUAUAAUGAGUUGGCAUCAACACAUUAUUAAAGUUACAACGGUGAAAGAUGAGCAUGCGUCCCAUUAGCUAGAUGGUAAGGUAACGGCUUACCAUGGCUACGAUGGGUAGGGGUCCUGAGAGGGAGAUCCCCCACACUGGUACUGAGACACGGACCAGGCUCCUACGGGAGGCAGCAGUGAGGAAUAUUGGUCAAUGGGCGCAAGCCUGAACCAGCCAUGCCGCGUGCAGGAUGACGGUCCUAUGGAUUGUAAACUGCUUUUGCACAGGAAGAAACAACAUUACGUGUAAUGUCUUGACGGUACUGUGAGAAUAAGGAUCGGCUAACUCCGUGCCAGCAGCCGCGGUAAUACGGAGGAUCCAAGCGUUAUCCGGAAUCAUUGGGUUUAAAGGGUCCGUAGGCGGUUUAGUAAGUCAGUGGUGAAAGCCCAUCGCUCAACGGUGGAACGGCCAUUGAUACUGCUAGACUUGAAUUAUUAGGAAGUAACUAGAAUAUGUAGUGUAGCGGUGAAAUGCUUAGAGAUUACAUGGAAUACCAAUUGCGAAGGCAGGUUACUACUAAUGGAUUGACGCUGAUGGACGAAAGCGUGGGUAGCGAACAGGAUUAGAUACCCUGGUAGUCCACGCCGUAAACGAUGGAUACUAGCUGUUGGGAGCAAUUUCAGUGGCUAGCGAAAGUGAUAAGUAUCCCACCUGGGGAGUACGUUCGCAAGAAUGAAACUCAAAGGAAUUGACG